rnacentral:rRNA from 1 species
GACGAACGCUGGCGGCGUGCUUAACACAUGCAAGUCGAGCGAGGAAAUUCCUUCGGGGAUUUCCUAGCGGCGGACGGGUGAGUAACACGUGGGCAACCUGCCUGAUAGAGGGGGAUAGCCUCCCGAAAGGGAGAUUAAUACCGCAUGACGUCAAAUGAAGGCAUCUUCAAAUGACCAAAGGAGUAAUCCGCUAUCAGAUGGGCCCGCGGCGCAUUAGCUAGUUGGUGAGGUAACAGCUCACCAAGGCGACGAUGCGUAGCCGACCUGAGAGGGUGAUCGGCCACAUUGGGACUGAUACACGGCCCAGACUCCGACGGGAGGCAGCAGUGGGGAAUAUUGCACAAUGGGGGAAACCCUGAUGCAGCAACGCCGCGUGAGUGAUGAAGGCCUUCGGGUUGUAAAGCUCUGUCUUCAGGGACGAUAAUGACGGUACCUGAGGAGGAAGCCACGGCUAACUACGUGCCAGCCGCCGCGGUAA